UUGGAGAGGUCGUUCUCCAGUGGGGAAGAAGGAAUAACAAAAGGAGCAUUUUUGGAGCAUUUAUUAACAGUAUAGGCUAGGCUUUUUUUCUAUGUAUUUUAUAUGUGUCUAUUCAUUUAAUGCCCUUGAUAAUCCACUGAAAGAGGUGUCAUUAUUAUCAUCCCAUUUUACAGAAGAAGAAACUGAAACAAGAAGACAUUGUCCUAGGUACUGUGCAUACAGCAGCAGACCAAACAAAGCCACUUCCCUCUCUUGCUUCAUGGCGCUUACUUUGCAGUGUGGAAGAUGAGCAUCUCAGCAUCUCAGAGGUGAAGAAACUGGCCUAGCCACCACGUGGUGGCACUUGCAGCCUGAGUCAGCAGAUCCCCAGGCAAAUGAAGACUCUGAGAUGAAGACAGCUGAGCGCAUGAUGGGGUAGGUCAGCCUCCCUCAUGGAAAUUCUGUGUGCCUGAGGCCCACCCUUCCAGUGCAGAUGGAGGGAUGGGAUGGAAAUGAAUCUAGGGGAACGCAUCCCAGCUGUGAUCCAGCCACCUCUGCGUUUGAAGGCUGGGGGUUAUUCCCUCCUCAUGGUUGCCACGCAUUCUUAUGUUUGCAUGUCAUGCUUGGAACUGCCGCAGCCACUUUGUGACAGCCUGAGAAUGAAUCCAGCGCUAAAAUCAGUCUAGCAAAAGGAGGAGAAACACCUGGGUCUCCAUGAUGUCACUGAGCAAGUGAAUUGACCAGCUGUGAGGUACUUCUGUGAUUCCUCCAUCUCACAGGACUGGUGUCCUUAUAAUGAAAGGAAGAGACACUGAGUUCUGUCUCCCAGCCUUGUGAGGACACGUUGAGAUGACUGCAAGCUGGGAAGAGAGCCUUCACCAGGAGCUGAAUUUGCUGGUAGUUUGAUCUUGAACCACAUUGAGAUGACUGCAAGCUGGGAAGAGAGCCUUCACCAGGAGCUGAAUUUGCUGGUACUUUGAUCUUGAACCUCCAGCCUCCAGAAUUGUGACAAAAUAAAUUUCUGUUGUUGAAG
rnacentral:lncRNA from 10 species